rnacentral:rRNA from 1 species
UUACACAUGCAAGUCGAACGGCAGCACGGGGGCAACCCUGGUGGCGAGUGGCGAACGGGUGAGUAAUAUAUCGGAACGUGCCCUGGAGUGGGGGAUAACUAGUCGAAAGAUUAGCUAAUACCGCAUACGAUCUACGGAUGAAAGUGGGGGAUCGCAAGACCUCAUGCUCGUGGAGCGGCCGAUAUCUGAUUAGCUAGUUGGUAGGGUAAAAGCCUACCAAGGCAUCGAUCAGUAGCUGGUCUGAGAGGACGACCAGCCACACUGGGACUGAGACACGGCCCAGACUCCUACGGGAGGCAGCAGUGGGGAAUUUUGGACAAUGGGGGCAACCCUGAUCCAGCAAUGCCGCGUGAGUGAAGAAGGCCUUCGGGUUGUAAAGCUCUUUUGUCAGGGAAGAAACGGCGGGCUCUAAUACGGCCCGCUAAUGACGGUACCUGAAGAAUAAGCACCGGCUAACUACGUGCCAGCAGCCGCGGUAAUACGUAGGGUGCAAGCGUUAAUCGGAAUUACUGGGCGUAAAGCGUGCGCAGGCGGUUAUGUAAGACAGAUGUGAAAUGCCCGGGCUUAACCUGGGAGCUGCAUUUGUGACUGCAUGGCUAGAGUGUGUCAGAGGGGGUUAGAAUUCCACGUGUAGCAGUGAAAUGCGUAGAGAUGUGGAGGAAUACCGAUGGCGAAGGCAGCCCCCUGGGAUAACACUGACGCUCAUGCACGAAAGCGUGGGGGAGCAAACAGGAUUAGAUACCCU